GCGAGCUGGUGAGGUGGGGAUCGAGCAGGGGAUAACGGGUUCGACAACUCGACGGCAGCGUAACACCACCAUGGGAUGGAGGCAAACUGACUACGAUAGCCUAGGACGGGUGCGGAGGCUGACAGCAGGGGACUUCACGAUGGGUAGUGAGCCUCAAUGACGAACGACGCGACGACGAACGACGACAACCGACGAGGUCGGCGAUGCGAUGGGGAUUAAAGCCGAACGAACCGAGAGGGCGCGCUAGCGAGCAGGAAACAGGACGCGCGGCGAGGCUCGACGUGGAAACUCGACGCGCCGUGGCGAGCAGAGAGGAAGUGCUGGUGGGAACUCGAUCAGGCCGACAUCGAGCUGCAAAAAUGAACAAGGCGGCGUCCAUGGCCAAAGCGAGCAUAGCCGAAUAUGAUCGAGCUGGGGCUUCCACGGAAGAACGCGUGGGCGGAUUCCGGAUUCCAUGGUGGCCACGGCAGAGUGGAGGACGAGUUUGAGGGGCACGCGCAGGGACGAGCUCGGCGCGCAUAGAGCAGCGCGGUCGGCCGAGCUAGAGGGCGAGCAACGUCGGCGAGCCUGCGACGCCAAGGAGCAGGGAGCAGCUGGGCUAAAUCCGAGCAGAGAGCGCCGAGCAGAGAAGAAGCAGCGCGCGCAGGGAGCUUCAACGGCGGCGACUUGGGCGAGCUUGCAGGGGAUCCAGCGCCAUGGAGAAAACCGAGCAGGGGCGCCGCAACCCGAGCGCUUGGACGAUGGAGGGCACGCGCGGAUGGCAAAG
rnacentral:misc_RNA from 1 species